GAAAACAGCAAAAUUACAUUGUUAGUUGUAUUAUUUACAGUGAAAACUUGGAAGACUUGACAAAGCAUCAGUUAGUUUAUCAACAGACCUAGGAAGCUCCCUGUCCCCUCCUUUCAGGGUCCUUUCCUUGGAAAUGAAAUAAACUUAAAUCAGAUUUUACAUAACUUUAAGCACCAGCUUGACAAUUUAAAGUUUUAUUUCAGUUUUAUAAAAUACUCCUGCUUUGAAAGGCAAAGUGAAUGUAAAAAUGUGAAUGUAAUUAAACAAGUCACUGGCCUGGAAACUUUUUAUUGCAAUAGUCUUUAUGUUUUACUACUAUAUUCACUUCUUGGAAUGAAUUUGCUUGUAGGUUUGAAACAAAAUAUUUGCCUUUUGUCUUGAAAAAUUCCCUUAAAAAAUUAAUUAUUUUUGGAACUGUACAACUACAUUUUCAUUCGAUGUUAAAUAUGCAACUUGGUCCUUGGAUAUCAUGUUACAAAGUCCAACCUGUUGGAUAACUUGUUAUAGAAAACAAUAAAAAACCUUAAACUAUCAUAAAAUAUUACUGAUGUUAACAGUCAUGUAUGUAUAACACAUCACUGUAUCUAGAUUUUCCUGUUAUUGGAUGUUUAAAUUACCAAUGUACAAUCAGGUUUUAAAAUGUAAUACUUAAAUUUCCAUUCACUAUGUAAAAUUAAAAGCUCUAAAAGAC
rnacentral:lncRNA from 10 species